GGAGACGUGCGGGAGUGGACUAACCGGCACGCCUGGAGAGCGUGUGACCCCGCGAGGGGUCCAAGGGUUCAAAUCCCUUCGUCUCCG
rnacentral:tRNA from 1 species